AGGAGGAACAUAAAGAGCAGAGGUGGACAAGCAAAUGUCUGUAAAGAUGGAGCAAGAGCCAGGCUGGUGUAAGGGAAGAGCAAGAACAGGAGGGAAGCCAAACACUGUGACUGGAUUUAGAAGCCCCCCCCAGGCUCCUGAGCUCUCACCCAGCACUUCCAAGUGGGAUUAAGGUGCUGGCCGAACCUCCACGUCCACAUUCCCUCCGCCAGCGACUCCCUCAGUCCAUUUUUGGCUACGAACUACCUCGACGCCGCCACCACCACCGCUCUGCCCCGCGAUGCUCCUCCGCGUCCGCUAACCACCGGGGCCCCGCCGAGCCGGCUCCGCGAUUCCGCACCGCGUUUCGCAAGCGCCCGGCAGCUCUCCCUCAGCCCCGCUGCGUGCGGACUGCGCU